rnacentral:snoRNA from 1 species
AAGACCUUACUUCACAGGAUCAUUUCUGUAGUAAGUGUCAUAACGUCGUCUUCCAGACUACCGGAAAGACAAAACCACGAUGAUGAGUUCCCCUUCUUCUCAGAGCAGGAAAACAACUGUGAAAAAGUGUACUCUUUUUCCAGUUAUUGUUGACUGUUUUAGCUGUCUUAGCUGAGAGAAGAAGGGUUACUGAGUGGU